rnacentral:rRNA from 1 species
UACGUAGGGUGCGAGCGUUGUCCGGAAUUAUUGGGCGUAAAGAGCUCGUAGGCGGUCUGUCGCGUCGGUCGUGAAAACUUGGGGCUUAACCCUGAGCUUGCGGUCGAUACGGGCAUGACUGGAGUUCGGUAGGGGAGACUGGAAUUCCUGGUGUAGCGGUGAAAUGCGCAGAUAUCAGGAGGAACACCGGUGGCGAAGGCGGGUCUCUGGGCCGAUACUGACGCCGAGGAGCGAAAGCGUGGGGGAGCGAACAGGA